AAAUACUGACGGAUUUUAGAGGCGGAAUUUAUUCAGUCUCUAACAGAGACGGAAUCUGAGACGGAAAAUGAAUAUUUGAGACGAAAGUUAAUUUUCUUGCAUUAGAGACGGAAUUUAGAGACAGUGCUCUCCGUCAUAAAAUUAUUCCGUAUCUAGUUCCGUCUCAGAGUAAAAAAUAAUUAAAAUAAAACAAAAAUUUCCCUAUAUUUGGCUCAAAAUGCUUUAUUUUACACAUUUCACCAAAAUAAAAAAAACCCUCCAACAUCUCAAUCAGAUUUUCCCUUACCUCUCCCUCUUUCAAUUUCAGAUUUUCACUUUUCCCUCUCCCUUUUUCAAUUUCAGAUUUUCCCUUACCUCUUGUCUCUACCAAUUUGAUUUUUCCUCUUCUCUUUCACCACCCAUCUCUCUCCAUCAACCAAUCUCUCUGUUCGCUGAAGACUCAUCUCUCACAGAAGCUAAAUCUAUAAUUGAAGACACCAACGAUUUACCCCCUUUUCAAACCCUAGAAUCGAAGGAAGAAAGAGUUCUCCCUUUUGUGUUACUAAAUUCAUGUACCUUUAUUUGAUUUCAGCACGGAGUUCGGAAACGGUGACGUCGUUCUUUGCCAGCGACAAAAUUGAAUCUAUAAGGCUGAUGUAGUCCACUUAUUUCUGAUCUGUUACAGUUCAAGAAAGAGGAAGAGAAAUAAGAAGCAAAAGGGGUUAACUCGAGGUACUCUCAUUGUGGAUUGUUAGCCUUCUAAAACUAAGGGGUUUGAAAUGUACAAUUGAUGAUGUUGGUGAUGUUCUUUCAAGUUCAGGUUGGAGUGAUAUAAUACAAUUGAGAAGACGGAGUCUAUGAUUGAUGAGGGUAUUGAAAAUGGCAUUCCUUUUGGUGAGAUUGCAAAGGUCUUAACUCACCCGAAAUUACUUUAACAACUUUGCUGGAAAUAUUGUUUGUACAGCUACUAUAGUCUAUACAUUAUCUAGAAUGUGAAUUGUGAAGCUUAACUAAGAUGGUGUAAAUAAACAACUUAUUGUACGAUGUUAAUUUAAAUUAUGUUAGUUUAUUAUCUAGAA